GGAAUAGCUGUCACAGGUAAUGAAUCUGAGGGCUGAGUUGCUGAGCUAUUUGUAGUGCCUCUCUAAUAGCAGAAAGAGUAAAGGCCUGUAGCGUGAACUGCUAGUCCGAAGAACAUUUGGAGAGGGCAGACGAGCCUCCACAAGGAAGAACAACCGCUUUGAGCACCUGUACAAAAUGGGCUUUGACAAUGUGACAGAGUACAAGCAGAAGAAGCAGCAGAGACUAGAGGAGCAACAGCUGAAGAGGACGAAGGCACAGAAGGCAAAUGGCAAUAAGAAGACCAAGAAAGAGGCAUCGGAAGCUCUGACCAAGCCAUCUGUCUGAAUGAACACCUUGAAGAUAGCGCUAAAUUACGGAGACAGCAGACAAAACAGGUCUUCCCUGACGUCCAUCCCCCUGGCAAUGCUUUCCAGUUCUUCCUGGGGGAUCCUGAGGCGUUCCCAGGCCAGACAAGGUACAUAAUCCUCCAGCGGGUUCUGGUGUACCCCGUGCUCUCCUCCCAGGCGGAUAUGCUCGAAAAAACCCAAAGGAAGUCUCACAGAAGACACCCAGAUCAGAUGUCCAAACCUCAUCAACUGGUUCCUUUCAAUGCGAAGGAGCAGCGACCCUACUCCAAGCUCCCUCUGGAUGUCUGAGCCUCUCAGCCCUGCCAUGAUAUGGAGGUAUCUCAUUUCGGCCACUUGUACCCACGAUCUUAUUCUUUCGGUCACUACUCAGAGCUCAUGACAAUAGGUGAGGGUUAAGAUAUAUAUGGACUGGUAAAUCACAACGGUCCAGUA
ensembl:lncRNA